GAUGCUUCAAUCACCACAACAUCUUCAUCAAUACUUCCUGAUGAGGAAAUAAGAAGAAAGUUUGCAGACUUCAUCUCAUGAGCUGUCAUACUUUCAGUGGAUCAGACCAACACCCACGUUGUGGCUCAUGUUCUCCACCAGCUGCAAGAAGUAAACCAAGGCAUGAGAGACAAAAAGCUACAGCCCUGUGAAGGAAGUCUCUCACAUCACCCAACAGCCACAGCAUUACAGAGAUCAGAAAGCUCA